AACCCCUCAAGCACCGCUUGUUGUUGGGCGCCUGUCCCGCCUCCGCGCGCGGACUCGCCUCAAAGACAUUGGCGGCCUGUGUAUUGGCUACGAGCGCAGCAGACCCGCGCCUCGUCCCCUCUCGCGCAGGCGCCCAGGAAGCGCAAACCCCCAAUU
rnacentral:misc_RNA from 1 species